GACGGGGGGGGGCAAGUGUUCUUCGGAAUGACUGGGCGUAAAGGGCACGUAGGCGGUGAAUCGGGUUGAAAGUGAAAGUCGCCAAAAAAGUGGCGGAAUGCUCUCGAAACCAAUUCACUUGAGUGAGACAGAGGAGAGUGGAAUUUCGUGUGUAGGGGUGAAAUCCGUAAAUAUACGAAGGAACGCCAAAAGCGAAGGCAGCUCUCUGGGUCCCUACCGACGCUGGGGUGCGAAAGCAUGGGGGAGCGAACAGG
rnacentral:rRNA from 1 species